rnacentral:rRNA from 1 species
AUUGAACGCUGGCGGCAUGCCUUACACAUGCAAGUCGAACGGUAACAGGUCUUCGGAUGCUGACGAGUGGCGAACGGGUGAGUAAUACAUCGGAACGUGCCCGAUCGUGGGGGAUAACGAGGCGAAAGCUUUGCUAAUACCGCAUACGAUCUACGGAUGAAAGCGGGGGAUCUUCGGACCUCGCGCGGACGGAGCGGCCGAUGGCAGAUUAGGUAGUUGGUGGGAUAAAAGCUUACCAAGCCGACGAUCUGUAGCUGGUCUGAGAGGAUGAGCAGCCACACUGGGACUGAGACACGGCCCAGACUCCUACGGGAGGCAGCAGUGGGGAAUUUUGGACAAUGGGCGAAAGCCUGAUCCAGCCAUGCCGCGUGCAGGAUGAAGGCCUUCGGGUUGUAAACUGCUUUUGUACGGAACGAAAAGCCUCUUUCUAAUAAAGAGGGGUCAUGACGGUACCGUAAGAAUAAGCACCGGCUAACUACGUG